rnacentral:rRNA from 1 species
GACGAACGCUGGCGGCGUGCUUAACACAUGCAAGUCGAACGGAAAGGCCCUGCUUUUGUGGGGUGCUCGAGUGGCGAACGGGUGAGUAACACGUGAGUAACCUGCCCUUGACUUUGGGAUAACUUCAGGAAACUGGGGCUAAUACCAGAUAGGAGCUCCUGCUGCAUGGUGGGGGUUGGAAAGUUUCGGCGGUUGGGGAUGGACUCGCGGCUUAUCAGCUUGUUGGUGGGGUAGUGGCUUACCAAGGCUUUGACGGGUAGCCGGCCUGAGAGGGUGACCGGCCACAUUGGGACUGAGAUACGGCCCAGACUCCUACGGGAGGCAGCAGUGGGGAAUAUUGCACGAUGGGCGGAAGCCUGAUGCAGCAACGCCGCGUGCGGGAUGACGGCCUUCGGGUUGUAAACCGCUUUCGCCUGUGACGAAGCGUGAGUGACGGUAAUGGGUAAAGAAGCACCGGCUAACUACGUG